GUGCCAGCCGCAGCGGUAAUACGUAGGGGCAAGCGUUAUCCGGAUUUACUGGGUGUAAAGGGAGCGUAGGUGGUGCGGCAAGUCAGAUGUGAAAGCCCGGGGCUCAACCCCGGGACUGCAUUUGAAACUGUCGUGCUAGAGUGCAGGAGAGGUAAGUGGAAUUCCUAGUGUAGCGGUGAAAUGCGUAGAUAUUAGGAGGAACACCAGUGGCGAAGGCGGCUUACUGGACUGUAACUGACACUGAGGCUCGAAAGCGUGGGAGCAAACAGGAUUAGAUACCCUGGUAGUCCACGCCGU
rnacentral:rRNA from 1 species